rnacentral:rRNA from 1 species
UCUCCGUUGGUGAACCAGCGGAGGGAUCAUUACCGAGUUUACAACUCCCAAACCCCUGUGAACAUACCUUAACGUUGCUUCGGCGGACAACCCUCGCCUUACCGCGAGGGCCCGCCAGAGGACCCAAACCCAACCUUUAUUUUUAUCUUGACCUACAUCUCUGAGUGGAUUUUAUAAAUCAAAUCAAAACUUUCAACAACGGAUCUCUUGGCUCUGGCAUCGAUGAAGAACGCAGCGAAAUGCGAUAAGUAAUGUGAAUUGCAGAAUUCAGUGAAUCAUCGAAUCUUUGAACGCACAUUGCGCCCGCCAGUAUUCUGGCGGGCAUGCCUGUUCGAGCGUCAUUAACACCCCUCAAGCCCCCGGGCUUGGUGUUGGGGAUCGGGAACAGCGGAUCGGCCCCCCGGGGCCGCGAAGCCCCCGUCCCCCAAAUGCAUCGGCGGUCACGCCGCGGCCUCUUGCGCGUAGUAGCUAACACCUCGCGCCGGAGCCCGUCGUGGUCCACGCCGCUAAACCCCCGACUUUUUACAAGUUGACCUCGAAUCAGGUAGGACUACCCGCUGAACUUAA